ACCAGUGUCAAAACAAAGAAUUGGACAGAGCCAGAGAGAAAACUUGGACAAAUAUCAGAGCAUCAUUUCAGAGGUGGAGGGAGCUUCCGGAUUUGUAAGAACUCAAGAGCGACGCAGAGUUAGCAGCUGGACAAAUCCUCAGGUUGUCUUAUCACCACAUGUCCAGAUGGAGGAGAACCAAGUGAGGCGGCAUGUUUCCUUUAUCUCGGGUUUUGCACUGAGGGAUUCGUUUUGAUUUUUAGGGAAACUGAAAGACUACAGCUGAAGACUCUUUAGUACCUCUACAAAUGGCACAAUCUAUUCUGCUUUGAUGGGGUCAAUCCUAACUCAAGCCCCAGGCUUAGGAAGCGGAACAGGCCCCUACCCAUAGCUGUAAUGUUUUUAAAGCCAUACCAGCCA